CCAUGUACCUCUGUUACAUUAGGAAGCCCCCAAGAGUGCUCUCACACUAAGGGCUGAAUAUGAACCACUCACAAGCCUUCCGUUAGAGGAGGACUGUGCGGAUCACUGAGAACCCAGGGGAACUCCAGGCCUCGUGACAGUUUCAGAUUGAACUUAUCAAACAAGAAACCAGAGGAGCAAGGUGAAAGAAAGAUACCUCCAAAAUUUGCAAAUGAGAGUUUCAAAGGUAAACUGGGUAAGAACUUCCGGUUGUCCACGGUCAGCCCUGCUUUGUCUCAAGAUGCUCACUGAAGCAGCCAAUAGACCAAGAUGCAGGUGAAACCAGCUUUGGGGGGAUCACCCAGACGUCUCCUCAUUCUAGGGCAUGAUUCCUGAACCAGGGCCAGCGUUGGAAUGUGCUCAAGUGCGUUCUAUUUCUCAGUGCAGUUGAAGCAGCAGCUUGAAUUGGAAUGAAAAGUAACUGCUCCCUUCCAAACUCAGAUGGGAAAUACCUACGAGUGGUCAAAAGUGCCAAUGUCCCUGAGCAUGCACCUAGGAAAGGCCAUGUGAGGACACAGUGACAAGGCUGCUGUCUGCAACUGAGAAAUGGAGCCUCCACCGGAAGAUGAACCAGCCGGCAUCUAGAUCUUGGACUUCUCAGCCUC